CAGAUGGCUGGCAUGAUGCUUCUACAAAUUUCUGUCUUGUGUACCAUCUCAGAGUUGAUUAUUGCAAUCACAGUGCUCCACUGGUUCAUGUCAUCGCGUAAAAAUAAAGUACCCUCAAACGAAAUUUUCUCAGAACCACCACCUUCAAAACCACCAUCUCUACUCGACUUGGAAAAUGUCUCUGAAGACUCCUAACCAAAGAAAAUAGAAGAUGAAAUUGAUGUGACUUAACUGAAGAGCCCUUCAGUCACAUCCUUGCCACUUCUCACUUUCUCCUAGUUCAGUAAUAAAUGAUGCAAUUUGAUCAC
rnacentral:lncRNA from 1 species